UACGGAGGGUGCGAGCGUUGUCCGGAAUCAUUGGGCGUAAAGGGCGAGUAGGUGGCUUGGUAAGUCUGUGGUGAAAGCGCGGGGCUCAACCCCGGGCCUGCAGUGGGUACGGGCAGACUAGAGUGCGGCAGGGGAGACUGGAAUUCCUGGUGUAGCGGUGAAAUGCGCAGAUAUCAGGAGGAACACCGGUGGCGAAGGCGGCAUCCUGGACCGGCAUUGACGCUGAGGCGCGAAAAGCCCAGGGGGAGCAAACGGGG
rnacentral:rRNA from 1 species